rnacentral:tRNA from 1 species
GGCGUUGUAGCUCAAUGGUAGAGUGCUCACCUAGCACAUGUGAGGUACUGAGUUCGAUCCUCAGCACCA